AGGACGAGCGCUGGCGGCGUGCUUAACACAUGCAAGUCGAGCGGAAAGGCCCUUCGGGGUACUCGAGCGGCGAACGGGUGAGUAACACGUGAGUAACCUGCCCUGGACUUUGGGAUAACCCUCGGAAACGGGGGCUAAUACCGGAUACGACAACUCAUCGCAUGGUGUGGUUGUGGAAAGUUUUUCGGUCUGGGAUGGGCUCGCGGCCUAUCAGCUUGUUGGUGGGGUGAUGGCCUACCAAGGCGACGACGGGUAGCCGGCCUGAGAGGGCGACCGGCCACACUGGGACUGAGACACGGCCCAGACUCCUACGGGAGGCAGCAGUGGGGAAUAUUGCACAAUGGGCGGAAGCCUGAUGCAGCGACGCCGCGUGAGGGAUGACGGCCUUCGGUUGCAACCUCUUUCAGCAGGACGAAGCGCAAGUGACGGUACCUGCAGAAGAAGCGCCGGCCAACUACGUGCCAGCAGCCGC
rnacentral:rRNA from 1 species